GGGUUGUGAGGUUAAGCGACUAAGCGUACACGGUGGAUGCCCUGGCAGUCAGAGGCGAUGAAGGACGUGCUAAUCUGCGAUAAGCGCCGGUAAGGUGAUAUGAACCGUUAUAACCGGCGAUUUCCGAAUGGGGAAACCCAGUGUGAUUCGUCACACUAUCAUUAACUGAAUCCAUAGGUUAAUGAGGCGAACCGGGGGAACUGAAACAUCUAAGUACCCCGAGGAAAAGAAAUCAACCGAGAUUCCCCCAGUAGCGGCGAGCGAACGGGGAGGAGCCCAGAGCCUGAAUCAGCAUGUGUGUUAGUGGAAGCGUCUGGAAAGGCGCGCGAUACAGGGUGACAGCCCCGUACACAAAAGCGCAUGUGCUGUGAGCUCGAUGAGUAGGGCGGGACACGUGGUAUCCUGUCUGAAUAUGGGGGGACCAUCCUCCAAGGCUAAAUACUCCUGACUGACCGAUAGUGAACCAGUACCGUGAGGGAAAGGCGAAAAGAACCCCGGCGAGGGGAGUGAAAAAGAACCUGAAACCGUGUACGUACAAGCAGUGGGAGCCCCACCACUAAGCCAGUGGUGAACUCCACAUCCGCAUCCUUUGCUGAGGAUACGGUUAACGGAGCGAAAGCGACGUUCAACCGCAAAACAAGCAGAGGGGGCUUAGUGGUGGGGUGACUGCGUACCUUUUGUAUAAUGGGUCAGCGACUUAUAUUCUGUAGCAAGGUUAACCGAAUAGGGGAGCCGGAGGGAAACCGAGUCUUAAUUGGGCGUUAAGUUGCAGGGUAUAGACCCGAAACCCGGUGAUCUAGCCAUGGGCAGGUUGAAGGUUGGGUAACACUAACUGGAGGACCGAACCGACUAAUGUUGAAAAAUUAGCGGAUGACCUGUGGCUGGGGGUGAAAGGCCAAUCAAACCGGGAGAUAGCUGGUUCUCCCCGAAAGCUAUUUAGGUAGCGCCUCGUGAAUUCAUCUCCGGGGGUAGAGCACUGUUUCGGCUAGGGGGCCAUCCCGGCUUACCAACCCGAUGCAAACUGCGAAUACCGGAGAAUGUUAUCACGGGAGACACACGGCGGGUGCUAACGUCCGUCGUGAAGAGGGAAACAACCCAGACCGCCAGCUAAGGUCCCAAAGUCAUGGUUAAGUGGGAAACGAUGUGGGAAGGCCCAGACAGCCAGGAUGUUGGCUUAGAAGCAGCCAUCAUUUAAAGAAAGCGUAAUAGCUCACUGGUCGAGUCGGCCUGCGCGGAAGAUGUAACGGGGCUAAACCAUGCACCGAAGCUGCGGCAGCGAACGUAUCACCCAAGACAACUUUACGGAGUUGACGAUUGACGGAGCGAAGCGACGUCAAAGCGUUCAUUAAAGUCGAGUUGGCUUAGGGAUACGUUCGUUGGGUAGGGGAGCGUUCUGUAAGCCUGUGAAGGUGUGUCGUGAGGCAUGCUGGAGGUAUCAGAAGUGCGAAUGCUGACAUAAGUAACGAUAAAGCGGGUGAAAAGCCCGCUCGCCGGAAGACCAAGGGUUCCUGUCCAACGUUAAUCGGGGCAGGGUGAGUCGACCCCUAAGGCGAGGCCGAAAGGCGUAGUCGAUGGGAAACGGGUUAAUAUUCCCGUACUUGGUGUUACUGCGAAGGGGGGACGGAGAAGGCUAUGUUGGCCGGGCGACGGUUGUCCCGGUUUAAGCGUGUAGGUGUGUGUUCCAGGUAAAUCCGGUUCACUUUAACACUGAGGCGUGACGACGAGGCACUACGGUGCUGAAGCAACAAAUGCCCUGCUUCCAGGAAAAGCCUCUAAGCAUCAGGUAACACGAAAUCGUACCCCAAACCGACACAGGUGGUCAGGUAGAGAAUACCAAGGCGCUUGAGAGAACUCGGGUGAAGGAACUAGGCAAAAUGGUGCCGUAACUUCGGGAGAAGGCACGCUGACACGUAGGUGAAGUGAUUUACUCAUGGAGCUGAAGUCAGUCGAAGAUACCAGCUGGCUGCAACUGUUUAUUAAAAACACAGCACUGUGCAAACACGAAAGUGGACGUAUACGGUGUGACGCCUGCCCGGUGCCGGAAGGUUAAUUGAUGGGGUCAGCGCAAGCGAAGCUCCUGAUCGAAGCCCCGGUAAACGGCGGCCGUAACUAUAACGGUCCUAAGGUAGCGAAAUUCCUUGUCGGGUAAGUUCCGACCUGCACGAAUGGCGUAAUGAUGGCCAGGCUGUCUCCACCCGAGACUCAGUGAAAUUGAACUCGCUGUGAAGAUGCAGUGUACCCGCGGCAAGACGGAAAGACCCCGUGAACCUUUACUAUAGCUUGACACUGAACAUUGAGCCUUGAUGUGUAGGAUAGGUGGGAGGCUUUGAAGUGUGGACGCCAGUCUGCAUGGAGCCGACCUUGAAAUACCACCCUUUAAUGUUUGAUGUUCUAACGUGGACCCGUAAUCCGGGUUGCGGACAGUGUCUGGUGGGUAGUUUGACUGGGGCGGUCUCCUCCUAAAGAGUAACGGAGGAGCACGAAGGUUGGCUAAUCCUGGUCGGACAUCAGGAGGUUAGUGCAAUGGCAUAAGCCAGCUUGACUGCGAGCGUGACGGCGCGAGCAGGUGCGAAAGCAGGUCAUAGUGAUCCGGUGGUUCUGAAUGGAAGGGCCAUCGCUCAACGGAUAAAAGGUACUCCGGGGAUAACAGGCUGAUACCGCCCAAGAGUUCAUAUCGACGGCGGUGUUUGGCACCUCGAUGUCGGCUCAUCACAUCCUGGGGCUGAAGUAGGUCCCAAGGGUAUGGCUGUUCGCCAUUUAAAGUGGUACGCGAGCUGGGUUUAGAACGUCGUGAGACAGUUCGGUCCCUAUCUGCCGUGGGCGCUGGAGAACUGAGGGGGGCUGCUCCUAGUACGAGAGGACCGGAGUGGACGCAUCACUGGUGUUCGGGUUGUCAUGCCAAUGGCACUGCCCGGUAGCUAAAUGCGGAAGAGAUAAGUGCUGAAAGCAUCUAAGCACGAAACUUGCCCCGA
rnacentral:rRNA from 1 species